GACGAACGCUGGCGGCGUGCUUAACACAUGCAAGUCGAACGGAAAGGCCCUGCUUUUGUGGGGUGCUCGAGUGGCGAACGGGUGAGUAACACGUGAGUAACCUGCCCUUGACUUUGGGAUAACUUCAGGAAACUGGGGCUAAUACCGGAUAGGAGCUCCUGCUGCAUGGUGGGGGUUGGAAAGUUUCGGCGGUUGGGGAUGGACUCGCGGCUUAUCAGCUUGUUGGUGGGGUAGUGGCUUACCAAGGCUUUGACGGGUAGCCGGCCUGAGAGGGUGACCGGCCACAUUGGGACUGAGAUACGGCCCAGACGCCUACGGGAGGCAGCAGUGGGGAAUAUUGCACAAUGGGCGGAAGCCUGAUGCAGCAGCGCCGCGUGCGGGAUGACGGCCUUCGGGUUGUAAACCGCUUUCGCCUGUGACGAAGCGGGAGUGACGGUAAUGGGUAAAGAAGCACCGGCUAACUACGUG
rnacentral:rRNA from 1 species